rnacentral:tRNA from 1 species
GAGAGAUGGCUGAGCGGUCGAAAGCGGCGGUCUUGAAAACCGUUAGAGGCGCAAGUCUCUCCGGGGUUCGAAUCCCCGUCUCUCC